GUUAUGCUCUGUCUCUGUCUCUGUCUCUCUCAAAAAUAAAUAAGCAUUAAAAAAAAAAUAAAAGGACAACUAUUUUACUUUUUGUUUUCUUUUCCAUUAACAUCUAAGCUGACUUUUCCCUCAUUCUGCCUUAGAAUUUAGCUAGCAAGUUGUCUUACAGCAAAAAAUUUGGUGAGCACGGCUUAUUCUAGCCGCCUGUGUUGGCAGAGUACUUACACUGCCAAAGGCAUCUCAGUCUCUGCUAACUAUUGAUUUUAAUGGAUUUUGUUGGCCAUUCCCAGUCCAUCUGUCUGCAAUAAAACAAAGAUCUCUUCAGCCCCUGGAGGAAUUUCAGAGCUAUGAACACUCAGAAAAUGCCACCAGGGAGAUUAUUUUACCUCCCUUUUUGGCAGAGAUUAAAGUGUUCUUCUGGGAUUGAUUUGUGCUCUUCCAAGCUUUUGAGUAGCUACUUUUCUCACAACUGUUAAAAAAAAAAUUCUUUUCCAAUGAAAUACUCACUCUUGUGAAUCCAGAGAUGCUGGGAUAGCAAUAAUCAAAAAUAUGGGCUAAUGAUCAUCUUUCUAAGGAGAAAUGUUGUAAUAGGACAAUAUUCACCCUAAGAGACUCUGAGACAGCAUCUUUGGGUAUCUUCUUCACUUGUUCUGAGAAGGUGUCUCCCAUUUUAAUUCUCUAUUUAUUUAAGUAUCUUCCAAUAAGUAUACAGUUCUUGUUUUCCUUCUAUACAUCAUUUCACUGGGAGACCGACCAAAAGAGAACGGAGGGAUGUUAACUCUGUAGAUUCUUAGGCUAAAGUCACGUCUUCCUCGUUCCCUAACCAAGGUUAUAAUUCCAUAAUAUUUCUGCCAUCAACUCCUGGAAGAUACAGGAGAUAUUUCAUUCUGAAUUACCAUGGAAACCUCCAAAAGUGUUUAGGCACAUUGUCCCAGCUCAGAGACAGUGGCAGCCUGCAUGUUUAGGAACAGGUGUAAAUAGUUUCCAAUUCUUCUAUAGAGACUAAGACUCUAAAAACAACUCCAGGCUAUCUUUCACAUCUUUAAUCCUUUUCCCAACUCAGUGGGAGCAAAGUUGACUCAUGGCUCCAGAGCUGCAAGCUCUCAGUUUCUGGAAAACUUGUGGAUUUGAGCUUAGGAAAACAAAUGUCAAGAUGCUGUAGCCACAAUGAUUUAUAUCUCUAUUCAUUACCGUUAAUAUUUUUCUUCCCUAUCAUAAAUGCCUAGAAACUGCCACAUGAAAUCUAAGGAAUGUUAUUGCUCAGACAACAAAGGGAAUAGAGCAACUUAAUGUAUUUUAUCAUUUUACAGGAGGCAAACUAAAGUGAAUAAGUACCAUGCAUCAUAAAAAGAAUCAUAUUUUUUAAAAGCCAAAUAGAGAGCUAGUAAUAAAAGUGAAGGCUUUCUUAUUUCACUCAGUCCCCUGCAGAGAAAGAAGAGGGAGAGGCGUUGAAGCUGAGGGGCUUGGCACCCCAAGCCAGGGAUCACGCACAGAUGUCUGGGGACUGCAUUUCAGCCUUCCCUCCCAAAGUCAAGGGGGAUACAUGCUUGUAUGGGAUAGCUGAGAUUCCUGAAGGUUUAGAUGAUUAUGUCAACCCAUCAGAGGAUAAGGAAAGAGCUUCCUGGGACCAGACAUCUUUACCAAAGGUCUGUUGCUCCUGUUGGCAGAGCCUGUACCCAGCCUGGUAAUAUUGCAGCUCAUUUUACCAAAGCAGCCACUGUCUGUGACUGUUGCCAUUGGAAACACUUCCACAGUCCAGACUGGGAUUUUCUUGCUACUAAUCAGUGAGGGAGUAAUUAGGCAUGCAUAGUUAACUGACAGUGGCUGUAGAGAAGGCACUGGCUUCCUUCUAAAGGGAAUUUCCAGUUACACUAACAUUAUGACACACAUGAGAUGCUCUGCGUUCCAUAUGGAAUGAGGCAAAGACUGUCACACUCAUCUGAUUUAGGACUGUGAACCUGGAUUCCCAUGGAGGUUUCAAAGGCACGAGGAUAGGACAGGGCUGCAGUCUACUCAUCUCAGAAGCUGCAGAGAAUGCAUAUUAUCUGCUCAAGAAGUAUUUCUGAAUGCAGUGCAAAGGAGAGGAUUUCACAGCAAAAUAAAAACAAGCCAAAAAGCUGACUAGAAAUCUGUCUUCUAAGAAAACUACAAAAUACUCCUAAGAGGUACAUUAGGGAGGAAAACUUUCCCUUUGAGUGUCUGGAGAUGACAUUGUGGCUUUAAAGAAAAUGAACUGGAAUCUAGGAAAAAUCUCAGUACGUUAUGUCACACAUCCCAGGUAUAAAGAAACUGAUAAUUAUUUCUCAUUUGUUACAUAUCUUCUAAUCUAAAAAUUUGGACUGUAAAGGAAACACAAAGUGUGUGUGUGUUUCAUGUAGGAUUGUGUGUUUGUAUCGGAGGUGGGAAGAGUUCAGGGCAAAUGUGAGAAAGUGCCGAUCUGUGUCAUAUUUUAGUGACUUCAGAUAUAAGGAACACUCCACCUUUCUGAAACAAGCUACACAUCUUAUGACAAAAUAUUUUGGUAUUAUGAAGACUGGCAGUUGUCAAACUUGAUUCAGAAGUAUCUUAAUCUUUAAGCCUGUCGCCUUUGUCAAAUCCCUUACAAGUGCAAAGCAAGUGCUUUCAAGAAAGACCUUGGCAAAUAUGAAGACCUGCUCUGUUGCCACUAGGUAAGAAUGUUGAAUUCUGAAGGAGCUGCCAAAUCAUGCCCUCAAUCACAAUAAAAAAUGAUGCAAAGAUCAAAAACAUUAAGAUGUGUUUUAGAUUAAGAGACCCAACUCCUUAUUAGUAGUGUUGUCAAAUAUGGUUCUACUUACUGGGAUGGCAAUAGCUAAUGAAAUGCAAGUGUUCUUUUGAACUGAAAACAUUUGAAAGAUUAAAAAAAAAGGUAAAAAGAAGGCUGCCACUUA